rnacentral:tRNA from 1 species
GGUUAUAGUUCAGUGGCAGAGCACUCACCUAGCAUGCGUGAGGCCCUGAGUUCUAUCCUCAGCACCA